AAAUGUUUUUCUUUACCUUUGAAUAAUCUGCCUAGAAGGAAGAGAUUCUGUGUUUUAUCAGAAUAAUAUGUGUGAUUUAUGUUGACUUUAUAAUGUUCAUUAUUUAAGAGAACAAAGUCUUCUCACUUUUUGAAAGAGCUAAGGUUCCUUACAAUUAUGUUACCUCUUAUGUUUACUUUUAAAAUCUUUUGUCACUUUGAAUAAAUAGAUAGCAAGGUACUGUUUUUCAGUAAUCCAUGAUUAUAGUAGGGUCAUUUAAUGAAGUGUUCAAAUCUGACAACUUUUGACUUUUUGCCUUCCCAAAUUCAAAUCCUAAAUGAUAUCUUUUACAUCUAAAACUUUCUUUGAAAUUUCUCAGAGGGCCCCUAUAAAAUCAUGAAGGAUUUGUUCUUUCACCUUGUAAAAUGAGAGGAGCUAGAAAUCAUUAGAUUUCUUUCACACAUUGUCAGUUGCAUGAAAAGCAUUGUCAAAUCAGAAGAUAUGCUAGGUUAAAUUUGCAUGGGUAAAAUUUUAUUGAAAUAAAUACCUCACAAAUUUAUGACAUUCCUGAAUAUUUAUCAAUGGCCCAUGAUUUGUUUCUGUUUAGGAGAAACCUAGUGUUGCUUUCCCUGAUAGACCAAAACAGGAUACUGCUAUCAGUCAUAAUUUGGCUUAUUUUUAAAAAUGCUAUCUUGCUCACAACGUUACUUCUUUAAUUUGAAUUUAGUAUAUUCUACAGUGUUGUUUUCAAUUGGGGAGGUGGCGAGGUUCUCUGGUAUUUUUUAUUCUAAGGAUAUUAAUCCUAUAGGAUCAGGGUCUUGCCCUUAUAACCUCAUAUAACCCUAAUUUCUUGCUCCAUCUCCAAAUACAGCCACACUGGGGGUUAGAACUUCAGUGUAUGAGUUUUUCAGGGUAUACAAACAUUCAGUCCAGUGGGUUCAUGAGACUACUGACCCAACAUUGAGUUGAACAAGAACUAAUUACAUAGAAAUAAAUGAAAUGGAGUGAUAAUUGUAGGAAUUGCUGGUGUUUUAAUGUUUUACUCUCUGGAUAUGAGGAACCCAUUUCUCUUAUCUCUUAAACUCUCUAAAAUUCAUAGCAGUUAAUAGACUAUGCUUUUGCAAACAGAAAUGAAACAGUCUUUUUCUCCCUACCUGAGACCUCUAGAAUCUGGAAACGCUUAAAUUUAAAAAAAUUUUUUUCAAAGCAAUGUAGUUUGAAUGAUUUUAGUAAGAAUAUAUCCUCCUUGUUAACAGGACAUAAUUGGAAACCUUGGUUCUGCAGCCAAGGUCUUGCCUGGAAUGUCAUUUUUGAGAAUGAUGCUCAUUUAAUCAGACAUGAUAAGACACAUUUAAGCAAGCAAAAUUUACUUUACAGAGCCAGUGCUUGCAAAGUUCUCAUGAGGAAAUUGACCUGGUACCUGGCUUACAGGAACUUGAGGAUAUUCGGGGGAUCCUGACAAAAGAGAUGCCUCCCUUGGACUUCAGGAUCUGGAAGGGGUUUCUGAUGGAAAAGAUGGAGAAGCAUUAGGGUGAGGCUUAGAUUAGAGCCAGCUCCUUAGCAGCCCCUGUGAUCCCUUUCCUAUGGCCCCUGGUCGUACUUAGCCCUGCUACAUAGUAGAGACUGGCAGCAAACAUGCCUUCAUUUGGCAUCAGGGGCUGAACUGCCCCUUUAUUUUUAUCAUCAGUGACUCGAGGUAUCUUCAGAAGGAGGCUGACCAGGAAAGAAGAAAAAGGGUGAAGACAACAAGCAAACCAAGAGGACACGUCACAUGUGAGACAUUCUCUCUGGUGCCCCAGCUUUAUUUGUCUAAUGGGCUAGAGUGCCCAUGGUGGGAGGAGAAGGACAGGGUAAGAAGGAGAUCCAGAGAAGUAUUUAGUUUUUGUUGACAUUGUCAUUGUCGUGUUGCAUAGAUUCUGUUCUUUUUACCUCUGGCUUGAUCUGGCCUUGGAAACAUAGCUUAUAUUAAAAUAAUUCUGUUCAAAUGAAGGAUGGCUAAGAGUAUUGCCAGUGAGAAAUUUCAUCACUUCAUUUCAUAUUUUUGUGAAAAUAUAUAUUUCCCAAAUAAAUGACAAGUUGAAGCUAGAAAAACAAAUAUCUAGGAUGAAAACUUUAACUUUGCAUUAAGACUGUGAAAAUGUGUUUUUCUCCCCUGAAAUGGUUUUCACAGCUCAUGUCAUUGACUUAAAUCUCUUUCUCUGUGAGUUAGAAAUAUUAAAACUGUUGACAUACAACUAAACAAUAUCUGUAUUUGUACCUUAACCAAUUUCUUACAUUUGCUUGCUUGACAGUUACCAUUUACUGUGACUGAAUGCCAUUUCCUUAAUAAAAAUGCGCUUACCUUUUUUUGACAGAUGUCAACUCCAUGUACUUUAAUGAUUUUAACCAAACUCUCAAACAAGUUUUUCACUUAUUUAAAAUGGACUAUAAUGUGAAGCCAACUUAGUUGUGAACUUGAAUAUUGUGUGGUAUAUAUUUGGAGAUAUUUUAAUGGUUUUAAUAAAAACUUUACCUGUUAGAGUGAAGUGACUGUGACAUUACUAUUGACCAGUUAAACUGAGCUCUAUUUUAGUGUCCAUUAAAAGCUUCUUUUUAUUUCAUUUUUUCACUUCAAAUUAUUUUUUCCCCAGAGGAAUUUCAUAUGAUAGAAUUUUAAUGUUUUCAAUUUAAGAUUGUUAUACAAUGAUAUACAAUUGGUUGUGCAGCUUCUGUGUAACUACAGUAGUAUAGAAUCCAUCUCUUCCCUUUUUAGCCAUUCUGAUUUUCUGUCUGUGGAGUCUUUGCUGAUAUUUGAGAGAAUAUAACAGCCUCAGUUAAUUUGACAGAGUAGAGAUAGUUUAUAACUAUUAGACAAAAAAGAGGGAGCCUGGGAAACUUCUACUGAACACUGUCAUACAGCGAGUAUUACUGUGCCAUAAACAGAGAUUUAGACUAAUGAUUAGCCAUUAGAGCAACAGUGACUAUUGGUUUUCCAUUGCUGUCUUAACAAAUUAUCACAAAUUUGGUGGCUUAUGUUAUGCUCAUUUAUUAUCUCAUAGUUCUGUAGGUCAGAAGUCUGACAAGGAUCUACCAGCCUAAAAUCGAAGUAUUGGCAGGGCUGCUUUCCUUUUUGGAGGUUCUAGGGGAGAAUGUGUUUUAUUGUUCAUUCAAGUUGUUGAUAGAAUUUAGUUGUUUGCAGUUGUAGCACUGAGGUCUUCCUUUCCUUGCUGGCUGUCAGCCAAGGGCCAUUCCCAGCUGCUAGAGGCCGUCAGCAUUCCUUGGCUCAUGGCUACUGUCCUCCCUCUUUAAAGCCAGCAGUAGCACUUCGCAUUUCUCCUGUCUCUUCUUCCACUUCAUCUCUGACUUUUCUGCCUUUCUCUUCCAUUUUGAAAGGCUCAUGUGAUUACAUUGGGCCUGCUCAUGUAAUCCAGGUUAAUCUCCCUAUUUUAAGGUCCACAACCUUAAUCCUAUCUGCAAAAUCCCUUUUGACAUAUAAUGCAACAUAUUCACAGGUUCCACGGAUUAGGGUGUGGGAGGGUAGGCAUUAUUCUGCUACCACAGUGACCAACGGACUUUGGACUAUUGAACUGCAACUAGGUUAGGGAAUGAACUGAAGCUCAUGUCUCAUGUUAGAGAGUUCCAGAGCCCUCUAUGGAUUCAUAUCAGCUAUACAGGAAGAAAACUAACUUUACUUUCUUGGCUAAAAGCCAAGAACUGAAAUAAGCUUCAUGUCAAAACUGGAAUUCAGCUCCUGCCCGCUAUCGUAGUAAGGGAGAGCCAGAACGGUGGUUGCUCACACGUGAAGGACUUUUACAUGUUUGAAUUGGUUUUUUGAGUAGGGUAUCAUUGUGCUAGAGAGUGGGUUAGUGCAGUUGAACACCUUAUUGGUCUGAUAUAUAUUUCAGCAUUUAUGUCACAUCUUAAGUUGGACUCCGGAAAAUCUAUUAUCAAAAUAUAUGACAGUAACAUGAAAAGAUAGUUUCCUUAACAAUUUCUAUAAAUGCAUUGUCUGCAGCAGGUUACAUUAACGGUAGAGGAUAAGAAGUUGUAGAUUUUUUUGGUUGAUUAAACCAAAAAAAUAUUGAAAUUUUGGAGAAGAAAUACUCUCUUCCUCUGCCCUGUACUUUCUACCCUCACAUAUAUAACAGUAUUUGUAUAUACAGUGGUUGAGUAGUAAGGUUGGGGAUAUGUCCUUAGAAAAGAAGUAUUGGCGAAAUAUUUGGUUUGUUUGAACAGUGUACCAACUGAUUAUAGAUGAUAGCGAGAAUCCUGCCAAUACAAUAUUUUUGUGGGAAGAAGUUGGGCAGAAAUUGUAACUUUGGAGUUAAUUGAAAUUGUUCUGUGGUAAAGGAAUUUAAGUAAAUAAGGAAGGGAAUUUCCUAACUGCACAAAAGUUCUUAUUCUUGUUGUAUAACAACAACAACAAAAAUGAAAUCCACUUAUUCAAGAAAAUUUGCUCUAAUAGAUAAAUUAUUUCAAAAGCAUUAAGUACACUUCUCAGCACUAGUUUUUCUGUUACAAAUAAUCAGUCUUUUACAUCAGAGUGAUACAUUAAAAUGAAGCACAUUAGACCUAUUAAAACAACCAUUUACUAAAAUACCCUUAAAAUUAGUUUAAAAAUUGAGUAAUUAGGCCCAUGCUGAGAUAACAUUACAUUUGCAUGUAUUGCCUUCAGCUUAUGGCCCAGUAUUUUUUUCAUUAGCUGUUAUGUGUAAAUUGGCUGUUAAAGAAUGCUUUAUGUUUUCAGUUAUGUUUUAAUAAAAUAAAAGAGGAUAUUAUUACCUCCUCAGACUGUAAAGAAUAGUAUUUCUAGGCUAACAAAAUGAAUUUCUUGUACUUCAAUCGAUGUUUGGCAGGUGAAAUCAUAUACAAAAACAACCUUCUCUGAGAUGAUGUGUAUAUCACAUGAUGCGAAUGUAAAUAAGUAGAAGACUCCUUUUAAAAGAAGGGAUAGACAAAUUCUUAAUAUGGCACAUGAAUAUUGAACCUAAUUGGGUAUCUGUUGAAACUGUUUUGUGGUGGUUAAAUAUGUUUUAGUCACGUAGAAAUAGAAAACUAUUAGCGGGCCCUUUGCAGCUGAUUACACCUUGUAGCAAAACCUUGAGCCCCAUAAAGAUCAGAGGGCAGAGAGAAGAUUCUUUUGUGACACAGGAUCAAAAUAGGGGAUUAAAAAAACUAGUUGGGCCACCUUUCAGCCUACACACACUCCAUUAACAGCAUUUCCAGAAUUACUAGGCUAUUUGUACCCCAGCAUUGCCAUAACUCUCUACAGGGGAGGAAGGAUAACACAAUGAUCAACAUUACCUAGCUUCAGACCUUUACUUAUCACUGAAUAUCUGUGUGACCUGAGCAAGUUCCUUAAAUCCUCUAAACCUCCGUUCUACCAUCUGUAAAAUAGGGCAGAUGAUAGUUCCUACUUCAUAGGAUGGUAUAAGAAUUAAAUGAGCUAGCAUGCAUAAAACAACUAACGUGGUGCACAAAACUUCAUGAACACCCAGU